GGGAGUAGAAGACAACACACAGAAUUGGAUCAAAACCUUACUCGCAACUAAGUUUUGAGAAGAGAAACUUGGAAACUGGAGAAGAGCCGGAUUGGAUUGCUCUGUGGGAACACACCCACACAAAGAAUGGAACAUGGUCUAACAGAGUCCCAGGAUGUCUAUGAUCCAAAGAACUAGCUCGACUGGACUCUAGAUCACAGACAAUUUAGUCUUGGCACUUAAUUAGGAUGGCUAAAUUACAUUUGAGUUUCAUUUGAUGGAUAUUUGCUAUGAGAAUUAUGAAUUUUAUGAAUCUACAUAUUAUACGUAUGGUUUUGAAUAUUGUAA